GAUGAAGAACGCAGCGAAAUGCGAUAAGUAAUGUGAAUUGCAGAAUUCAGUGAAUCAUCGAAUCUUUGAACGCACAUUGCGCCCGUCAGUAUUCUGGCGGGCAUGCCUGUUCGAGCGUCAUUACGCCCCUCAAGUCCCCUGUGGACUUGGUGUUGGGGAUCGGCGAGGCUGGUUUUCCAGCACAGCCGUCCCUUAAAUUAAUUGGCGGUCUCGCCGUGGCCCUCCUCUGCGCAGUAGUAAAGCACUCGCAACAGGAGCCCGGCGCGGUCCACUGCCGUAAAACCCCCCAACUUUUUAUAGUUGACCUCGAAUCAGGUAGGACUACCCGCUGAACUUAAGCAUAUCAAUAAGCGGAGGA
rnacentral:misc_RNA from 1 species